AUUGAACGCUGGCGGCAGGCCUCACACAUGCAAGUCGAGCGAGAGGAGGACGGGUGAGUAAUGUCUGGGAAACUGCCUGAUGGCGAGGGAUAACUACUGGAAACGGUAGCUCCUACCGCAUACCAUAAGAUGUGCCCAGCUGUGAUUCGCUAGUAGGUGGGGUAACGGCUCACCUAGGCGACGAUCCCUAGCUGGUCUGAGAGGAUGACCAGCCACCUGGGCACGGAGACACGCUCCAGCCGCCUACGGUAGGCAUCAGUGGGGAAUAGUGUACAAUUGGCUCAAUCCUAAUGCACCCAUGCAGCCUGUAUGAAGUAGGCCUUCGGUUUGUAAAGUACUUUCAGCGAGGAUUCGUUACCCGCAGAAGAAGCACCGACGAACUCCGUGCCAGCAGCCGCGGUAAUUC
rnacentral:rRNA from 1 species